rnacentral:rRNA from 1 species
UACGUAGGGGGCAAGCGUUGUCCGGAUUUAUUGGGCGUAAAGCGCACGUAGGCGGUUCGUUAUGUCGGAUGUGAAAGCCCUUGGCUUAACCGAGGAAGUGCAUCCGAAACUGGCGAGCUAGAGUACUAAAGAGGAUCGCGGAAUUCCCGGUGUAGAGGUGAAAUUCGUAGAUAUCGGGAGGAACACCGGUGGCGAAGGCGGCGAUCUGGGUAGAUACUGACGCUGAGGUGCGAAAGCGUGGGGAGCAAACAGG